GGAGAGAUGGCAGAGUGGUCUAACGCGCUCGCUUGGAGAGCGAGUAUGGGCGGAAGCUCAUCGGGGGUUCGAAUCCCCCUCUCUCCG
rnacentral:tRNA from 1 species